UUCUUUGAAGUGGGGCUGUCUUGCCUUUUGUUGUCUUUGAUGCUGGUGCAAUAGCAUUUGUUGCACAUGUGCUCAUGGCUUUACUUUAUGGCUUGAAAAAUGGCAUCUGCUUUUUGAAAUUGCUCAUUCCUUCAACACCUGUGCACUAUAAGCAAAGUUUUAUUCCUGCAAAGUCAGCUAUUAUUGUGAUUUGGCAUAUGUCUGUUGUGCAUGGUUAGUUGGCCCUAUCAAUAUAUUGACCAGCUUGAGGAUGAAUUAUCCAAAAGCAAAGAUGGAUGCAAUGUGAUAUGGGCUUGCACAUGUGCAUAUAUAUGUAUGCAUAUAUUCACAGAAGGAUGAAUAAAGGGAAUAGUGACUUUGUCUUAAUAUAAACUCUUGUAAUUUGUCUUGUGCAAUGAGAAAUGGCUCAAUUGUGAGCAAAAAAACCUAUACAACUUUCAACAAUGGAUCUCUUGGCUCUUGCAUCGAUGAAGAACGCAGCGAAAUGCGAUAAGUAAUGUGAAUUGCAGAAUUCAGUGAAUCAUCGAAUCUUUGAACACACCUUGUGCUCCUUGGGUUACCUAUGGAGCAUGCCUGUUUGAGUGUCAUGUUUAAUCUCAAUUCCCUUAGGGGUUUUGGAUUUGGGGGCUUUGUGCAGGUUCUCCUUAUAGGGAAUCAGCUCCUCUUAAAAAUAUUAGCUGGAGGGAUGAAGCAAAAUUGGCCUUAAGCAUUGUUCCAUUAGCUUAUGAUGUAAUAA
rnacentral:rRNA from 1 species